CUCCAGCACCAGAUUUCAACAUUGAAGAUCCUGAUCUUGAUGAGGGAAGUGAUUCGCCUGUGGUGCAAGAGAGCCCAUCCAAAGUGAUGAAACCAAACAGUGUUGAUACAGCAGAAGUUUCAGAACCUUUUGCAGUUCCUAAUCAGUUUAUGGACAGUCCUAUCAAAGUGGCAGAUGACAUCAAUCAGUCAAAGGAUGAUGACAACAAGCAAUCAAAACAAGAGAGUGUUGAGGACGAUUCUGAAUUUGACCUGAACUUUUUACCAACAGCCUAUAUGUGGAACAAACAAGAGAAAGAAGAUAUGGGCACUCAAGGCUAUCAGAUAUUACCUGAAAGUCAAGAGCUUCCUUCCUCUCCUGCUCCUCCUGCAGAUUUUGAGUCUGCAUCACCCCCUGUAUCCCAACAGAUGGAGCCCAGUUCUGAACAACGUUCCAAUAUUUCAAAGGGAAACUUGGAGCCUGGUGAAAUCCAGGAGAUAGACAGUUCUGGGGAGUCAGAUGAUACAGUGAUUGAAGAAACCAUGAGCAUCCCAAAAGUGGGAAAUAAUGGCCUUGACACCGAAACCCACAAGGAAGAGGAGACCCUUCCAAACAAUGAAAAACAGCCAAUUCAGGUACCUAUUAUUAACGUUAUUGAAACUGAGGAGCAAGUUUUCAGUGAUGAUGAAGAACCACCUGAGGUGGAAGGAGAGAUGAUGGAGGAGGAGGAUGAAGAGUGUCAGAUAUUGCAAAGUGAAGGCAAAAGGUCAUCUGAGCAACACGACUCAGAGGUUCCAAAUGUAUCAGUGGAAACUCUACAUGAUGAGCGUAAACCUGACCAUGGCAUUUCCUCUCAGACAAAACAAACCAGCUCUGAUGCUGAGCACUCUCCUGAACACAAGGUGAUUGAAGAUGAUUAUGAAAGUGGCAUUUUUCUCCAGUCCUCUCCAGACUCCGGAGGCCUAAAUUCAGAGGACUCUCAAGAGCUUAUGUCUCAGACUUUAGUGUCCUUUGAACCCCUUAAAGAGUCAUCCCUUGAUAAAGACCUUGACAAGACCGCAGAAAUACUUUCUGACCUUCCCCCUGACAUCAGUUCCCCCUCAAAUGAGCCCAGUGAUGUAGAGACUUACCUGGAUCAUUACGCCAGUGAAGAGCUUGCUUUAAAAGACCAACUGAAUUCAUCUUAUUUUAAAGAAAUUAAAGGUGAGAAAAUAGAACCUUUAAAGACAAGUUGUCUUCCAGAUAAUCAAAAUACAAAUGUUCAAGAAUCCUUUGAACAUAUUACUUAUGAUUUUAACGAGACACUCAACGAAUGCAGGCUAGACUAUGAAUCUGUGCCUGAGCCUUCCCUAUCUGACCUUUCAUCUUAUAUUCCUGAUGAUAUUGAGACUACUCUCCUUCAAAACAAAAUGCCAAGUGUUAAUUCAGAAGAUCAGAAGUCAGCAGUAGAAAUCAAGGAUUCACCCUUGCAGGAACAGGAGGAGUUGCCAGUCCAGUCCAUUGAUCAACAACCACCAGUUGAAGAGAAACCACCUGCACCAUUUCCCUCUUUUUACAGUGAGCAGUCUAGCAAAAUGAUUGAUAAUAUUUCUGGCCCUAUGGCAAAUGAGGUUACUGAGGGAUCAGUGAUAACUAAGUCUGAACCUCGAGUUAUGACCACCAAAGAUCUUUUAGAUAGACCGGAUUCGCCAGAGACCCUGAGUGAUACAGAGAUGGUUGAAGCAGAAUGUUCAGUAACAGCAGCGACUGACAGCUUCGUGGAGUUCAUGAAGGAGUGUCUUAAGUCACGGCAGGGUGAGGAACCUGAAGUCCUCAGUCCUGGACACAAAACUAUAGACCAGAAUCCCAAAUCUGAUGCUUCUGCUUCCACUCAAUCCUCCCCAGCAAAGAUUUUGGACUUAGAGCAAGAGCGCCUCACAAUUUCUGCUUUGAAAGAGCUCGGGAGCAGCCAAGAGGAGGAAGACAAUGAUUUUCCCACCAUGAAGACAGUCCUAAAGCCUGAUAAAGCUCCACUUCCUACACCUAGUGCUGAGGCCUCACUUACCUCAUCUUCUCACACUCCUCAAAACGAGUACCAGCCUGAUGCCUUACUUCCCAAAGAGGUAGAGGCAAUCGACAUUUGGGUAGCAGAGGCCUACCACCUUGCAGAGC
ensembl:lncRNA